rnacentral:rRNA from 1 species
GUGGGGAAUCUUGCGCAAUGGGCGAAAGCCUGACGCAGCCAUGCCGCGUGAAUGAUGAAGGUCUUAGGAUUGUAAAAUUCUUUCACCGGGGACGAUAAUGACGGUACCCGGAGAAGAAGCUCCGGCUAACUUCGUGCCAGCAGCCGCGGUAAUACGAAGGGGGCUAGCGUUGCUCGGAAUUACUGGGCGUAAAGGGCGCGUAGGCGGACAGCUUAGUCAGAGGUGAAAGCCCAGGGCUCAACCUUGGAAUUGCCUUUGAUACUGGCUGUCUUGAGUUUGGGAGAGGUGAGUGGAACUCCGAGUGUAGAGGUGAAAUUCGUAGAUAUUCGGAAGAACACCAGUGGCGAAAGCGACUCACUGGCCCAAUACUGACGCUGAGGCGCGAAAGCGUGGGGAGCAAACAGGAUUAGAAACCCUUGUAGUCC